UUUUAAAACCAGCAUACGUAAAUGGGGGUUUAUACGUAUGCAUGCAUGUUUUAUGUAAUUAUACGUGUUUCUUUGAGAAAUGUAAUUACACGAUUUUCGAUAAUAAGUUUAUCAAACGUUUUGUAGUUUUUUUUUGUUUUUUUCCUUUGAUAAACAAACGUUUUGUAGUUAAAGGUUAUUUCUAAAAAUAGGUUUUUUUAAAGCUCUCAUCUGAUGUGGUAAAGCCAUGUCUUUGGUCGGGUUUUGGUGGUGAAGCUGAAGGUGUUUAUCUGUACCAGAAGAGUAACUGAAAUAAAGGUGGAGAAGGGAUGGUGCAGUGUUUCCUGCUCAAACUGGGCCAAGAAACUUUAGCGCACAGUAUCAUCUUUCACAUGUCUUCCUUGCAACAAUACCAGUGCAGUUGGUGUCCUCCGGUACGGUGUGGAGAUGUCCGUUGCAGAUGAAACUGGUAAAGCUUUGUUUGUCUGUUUCGAUGAGGUAAUGACCAAACUUCACAACAUGAGGGCCUUUGAAGCUGAUCAUCUUUUGGCUGGUGAUGGUGUCAACCCAGAGGAAACACAGGCCCCGCCGUUUGUGUGAGACAUGGUUGGUAAGACCUACACAUUCCAGGUGAGGGUGAGUUCACUUAAAUUCACAGCGAAUCAUCAGACCUUUACUGUCUCGCGCAUCCUCAGUGAGCGUGACCGUGUGCUGCAGCCUGCAUUUGUUGAUAAUCUAAGGUUUAUAGAAUGGAGGCGACGUUUACAAUGGAGAUGACAACCCCGAUGCCAUCACAGUGCCUUUUAAGGUGGAAACUGGUGGACCUAGCCAGGCGCAGGUAGCAUCGGAGAAGGUGAAGAAACCACGCAAGACAUAGGUGAAGAGGAUUGGAGUACAAGACGCAGUUUUUCCUGUGUUUUUUUAAUGCUGAAGUUGUUUAUGUUGGUUUUUUUUCCUUUUCUGGUGUUUGCUUAAUUAACAAGUUUGAGUUUUACACUUUGCUACUUCUAUAGUUUUGGUUUUUUUAAUACCAAAUAUAAAAUAUAUCUCAUUUAGGAAAUAUUUGGUAUUAUAUGGUUUUUUUUAAUUCAAGUUAGUAUUCUCUAUAUUCUGUCAUGAUUGUAAAUAUGAUCAUGUUUAACGUAGGCAAUCAUCCGCAUAUUUUGAGUCCAAUUUGACAAUGACAACAUAUACUAAACAUGCGAUGGGUCCAUUCAUAUUCGAUAUUUCCCUUCAUUCGCAUUUUAUUCAUCAAAUACUAAAUAUAAAUAUAAUGCUCACACAGUACCUGCGGCUCCAUAAUAGUUAAGAAGCUAAACACAUGACCCGUAUACAUUAUAUUUAUAGUAUACAUAUAUUUAUAGCUUAGCAUUGAACUGGUUUACUUGGUACGCUAUCUCUGAUCCGGUAUGUUCUCAUGUACUGACUUUAUCACUAUCUUCGCCGGAAAAGGAGCCAAUGUGUUCUUGAACAAUUAUAGGCUUCGACGAAGAUAUCGUUCACCAGUGUUUUAAGUGUCAUAUUUUGAAAGACUGGACUCCCUCUUCUCUUAUAGUCUUACAUUUGCUACUUUUAUGAAAACCUUCUUCUUAACGCUUAAACAUUGUUUUAGAUUUAAGGUUUCAUAUAAAGAGUCUGUGACACAUAUUAUAUAUAUUAUAUACUAUGUUUUAAAGAUCAAGAUAUCCACAAAUAUAAUAGAAUUAUAUGCAUACUACAAAGACACCAUAAAGAAAGAGCCAGCAUAAAUUAAAAAACCCCAUGUUUAAUUAAAUAAACUAUUACGUGUACUUGAAAUAUUCUUUCAUGAAUAUUAUAGCAAGAAAGGUAGAAAAAAAUUAUAACUAACAUUCAAUAAGAAUGGUUAAAAAAAACAAAAAAAAAACUAACAUUCAAUAAGAGAAUAUUAACUUUAAGUACAUAUUUAUGUAUAAAUCAAAUUACGCUUUAAUAUAAAAAUAUAUAGUUUAAUUAGUCAAACUUCUCAAUUAUUGUACUGUAAAACUUUCAAUGGUUGAUUAGAAAGAGUAAUUUAACUAUAACUAACAAAUCCCUAUAAGGAAAGUUAUAUAUAUAGUUAGAUAUAUGCAAUGAGCAUAAAAUUUUUAAGUCCCCUAAUGAAAUAUAAAACAAAAAGUAGAAAAAUAAUUAGUAGACCAAUUAAGAUAAUAGUAAUAAAAAACUUUAAAAGUAAAUUAUUAAACCAUAAUAUUAUUAAAUAAGUAAAUAUUAAAUCAGAUAUUUGUCGACGGAAAUGUCAAAGUAUGUUUUGUUUAUUUUCCUAAAAUUGGAAUGUAGGCAAAAAAAUAACCAAAUAUCAAUAAAAUUGUAUUAUGUAUAUUAUUAAACCCCUUAAAUAUAUAUAUAUAUAAUUGGGUUUCCUUCUCUCCUAGAGUGUCCACAUGGGAUGCCAUGUCACAAAUUCGUGCAUCAUCA